rnacentral:rRNA from 1 species
CCUACGGGAGGCAGCAGUGAGGAAUAUUGGUCAAUGGACGAGAGUCUGAACCAGCCAAGUAGCGUGAAUGAUGACUGCCCUAUGGGUUGUAAACUUCUUUUAUAUGGGAAUAAAAUGUUCCACGUGUGGGAUUUUGUAUGUACCAUAUGAAUAAGGAUCGGCUAACUCCGUGCCAGCAGCCGCGGUAAUACGGAGGAUCCGAGCGUUAUCCGGUUUGAUUGGGUUUAAAGGGAGCGUAGGUGGAUUGGUAAGUCAGUUGUGAAAGUUUGCGGCUCAACCGUAAAAUUGCAGUUGAAACUGGCAGUCUUGAGUACAGUAGAGGUGGGCGGAAUUCGUGGUGUAGCGGUGAAAUGCUUAGAUAUCACGAAGAACUCCGAUUGCGAAGGCAGCUCACUGGACUGCAGCUGACACUGAGGCUCGAAAGUGUGGGUAUCAAACAGGAUUAGAUACCCUUGUAGUC